GGUUUCCUAGUGUAAUGGUUAUCACAGCGGGUUCUGAUUCCGCUAAUCUGGGUUCGAUUCCCAGGGAGACCU